AUGUCGAAGCGGCCGGGCGGGAUGAAGAAGAGGCUGAAGCGCGGCCUCUGGUCGCCGGAGGAGGACGAGAAGCUGAUGAACCACAUUGCCAAGUACGGCAACGGCUGCUGGAGCUCCGUCCCCAAGAUUGCAGGCCUUGAGAGAUGCGGGAAGAGCUGCAGGCUGAGGUGGAUAAACUACCUGAGGCCGGACCUCAAGAGGGGCGCCUUCUCCCAGGAGGAGGAGGACCUCAUCAUCCACCUCCACUCCAUCCUCGGCAACAAGUGGUCUCAGAUCGCCGCGCAGCUGCCCGGCCGCACCGACAACGAGGUCAAGAACUUCUGGAACUCCUUCAUCAAGAAGAAGCUCCGCCAGCGCGGCAUCGACCCGGCCACCCACAAGCCGCUCGCCCCCGCCGGCGCUCCCGCCGCCGCCACGCCUGUCAGCCGCAGCGCCGUGUUCAGCGAGGCCGAGCUGAUACUGUCGUCGCCCGUGGGGGGACCGCACAUGCCGCCGCUGGUGUCGGCGGAGAGCUACGUGUACAGCCGGGGCAGCAUGGACGGCGCCGGCGGCGUGGUGGGCGGGUGCAGCGACGAUGGGUCCCUGUCCUCGCUGUCGGGGUACAACAACAACCAGACGGCGGACUUCGCCGGGUACCUGGAUGCGGACGCGCUGCACGGCGGGGUUAUCCCGUCGGUGUCGAGCUCCAGCACGCUGAACUCGAUGGCCGGCGUGAGCCCCGGCGGCGCGGCCAACACCAACGCCACCACGGACGAGCUGUGCUGCAACAACAACCCGAGCAACAGCGGCAGCGGGUUCGAGUCGUCGACGACGCAGAGCAGCAGCAACCACCACCUUCCGUGGCUGGAGCUGGGGUCGAUCAGCAGCUGCGCCGACCACUACGGCGCGGCGCUGGACGAGCUCAAGUGGUCAGACUACGUGUUCGACGGCGGCUACCCGCAGUACCACCAGCAGGGCCAGUGCAUCUACGGCGACAGCAAGGCCGCAGCCGACGCCGCGGCGGGGCAGUUCGACGCGCACGGGCUCGGCAUCAACUGGUGCUUGAAUUGA
rnacentral:rRNA from 1 species